rnacentral:lncRNA from 10 species
CCGUAUCCUGCCGCCCGUUUUACCCGCGGAGACGCCGAGGCCCGAUGCCGUAUCCUGCCGCCCGUUUUACCCGCGGGAAAGCCGAGGCCCGGUGCUGUAUUCUGCCGCCCAUUUUACCCGCGGGGAAGCUGAGGCCCAGUGCUGUUUAAUAUCUUACUCAUGUUCACUUGAUGAGAAAGUGACAGAUCUGAGACAAACCCAGUUCUAGAGGUUAUGACACCAGCCAUGGAAGAGCAGAGAGGCCAAUGAGGUGGGGAGGUUGGAAACAAAAGGCCUUCUCCACCCCAGCUUGACCAACCCAAAAGCUGGAAGGCAAGGAAGACCUAGAUCGACAGAAAAGAAAUGAGUCAACGAUGGUGCAGAAAGGGACCAGCUUGACGAAGCUUCUGCUUUUGUGACUGUCUCCUAAUGGUGA